rnacentral:rRNA from 1 species
GACGAACGCUGGCGGCGUGCUUAACACAUGCAAGUCGAACGGAAAGGCCCUGCUUUUGUGGGGUGCUCGAGUGGCGAACGGGUGUGUAACACGUGAGUAACCUGUCCUUGACUUUGGGAUAUCUCCAGGAAACUGGGGCUAAUACCGGAUAUGAGCUCCUGCUGCAUCGUGGUGGUUGGAAAGUUUCGGUGGUUGGGGAUGUACUCGCGGCUUACCAGCUUGUUGGUGGGGUAGUGGCUUACAAAGGCUUUGACGGAUAGCCGGCCUGGGAGGGUGGCCGGCGACAAUGGGACUAAGAGACGCCGCAGACGCGUACGUGAGGCAGUGGUGGAGAGUAUUGCACAGUGGGCGGAAGCGUGAUGCAGAAGCGCCGCGUGCGGGAUGACGUCCUUCGGGUUGUAAACCGCUUUCGACUGUGACGAAGCGUGAGUGACGGUAAUGGAUAAAGAAGCACCGGCUAACUACGUG